rnacentral:rRNA from 1 species
UACGUAGGGGGCAAGCGUUGUCCGGAAUCAUUGGGCGUAAAGAGCGUGUAGGCGGCCAUUCAGGUCAGCUGUGAAAACUCGAGGCUCAACCUCGAGACGUCGGUUGAAACCGUUUGGCUAGAGUCCGGAAGAGGAGAGUGGAAUUCCCGGUGUAGCGGUGAAAUGCGCAGAUAUCGGGAAGAACACCCGUGGCGAAGGCGGCUCUCUGGGACGGUACUGACGCUGAGACGCGAAAGCGUGGGGAGCAAACAGG